rnacentral:rRNA from 1 species
UACGUAGGGUGCGAGCGUUAAUCGGAAUUACUGGGCGUAAAGCGUGCGUAGGCGGUCCGCGAAGUCAGAACGUGAAAAUCCCUCGGCUUAACCGGGGAACUGCGUCUGAUACUGGAUGGCUUGGAAUCCGGGGAGAGGGAUGCGGAAUUCCAGGUGUAGCGGUGAAAUGCGUAGAUAAUCUGGAGGAACACCGGUGGCGAAGGCGACAUCCU